UUGCUUCAGCAGCACGUAUACUAAAAUUGGAAUGAUAGAGAGAAGAUUAGCAUGGCCCCUGAGCAAGGAUGACAUGCAAAUUCGGGAAGCAUUCCAUAUUUUU
ensembl:snRNA U6 U6 spliceosomal RNA